AACACUCUUAGCACCCUACAAGCAGGUAUGUGCUUACCAGCAAACUAAAGCAAAUGGAAAUUAAGAAGCAUGAUCACCACCAGCAAGGUGCUGCUGAACUAUAAGCCUUCAGAUGGUCAGAUAAAGUACCUGAUGCUGAAAAACAGGAAAUUGAAUCAUGUCUCCAAAAUGUGCCUUUUGUCAUGCACUGUUACAGCUAUAUUUCUUGCUCUUUAGGCCUUAAUGAUUGACAUGAUCUUGGAAAACAGGUAUGUAGCAAAACUCUCCUAGAAACCUGAAAGAUGUGGCAAGAAGAAAACAUGGAGCCUUUUCUGAACAAGCCUAUGAGAGAAGAAGAAUCACUUCAAUUUAUUAAGUGUGGAUUCUGGGGCUAAAGAACUUACCUACAACCACACAGCCAGCAAAUUACUGACCCAGCAUAUUCUGAACCCAGGUCUUUAUUCUUUCCAAAACUUCACAGCACCUUCCUCAGAGCAUCUCUACAUGAAAAUCUGUAUAAAGAAGUGAUCUGUGGUGUCGCCAUUUGUAUCAAAAUGGUAUCACAAACUUAUUUAAAAGGCUUCAUCUAAAAGUCUUCAGAGUUUUGGCCAGGGAAGAGCUCUAAUAUCACACAUUAAUAACCUUACCUUUGUAACAUGUAAAUUGUUUUUUGUUUUAACAUCUCAGUUUCAUUAAACUGAGACCA